rnacentral:rRNA from 1 species
GGAUUAGAUACCCUGGUAAUCCACGCCGUAAACGAUGUCUACUAGUCGUCGACUCUUGCAGUCUUGGUGACGCAGCUAACGCGAUAAGUAGACCGCCUGGGGAGUACGGCCGCAAGGUUAAAACUCAAAUGAAUUGACGGGGGCCCGCACAAGCGGUGGAGCAUGUGGUUUAAUUCGAAGCAACGCGAAGAACCUUACCUGGCCUUGACAUCCUGCGAACUUUCUAGAGAUAGAUUGGUGCCUUCGGGAGCGCAGUGACGGGUGCUGCAUGGCUGUCGUCAGCUCGUGCUG